rnacentral:misc_RNA from 1 species
AAAAAAUAAAAAUAAGUACAAAUCAACAUAUUAUAUUUUUACAUAAAUAAAAUUAAUCAUUUAUUAAAAAAAAUAAUAUAAAAGACUUUGAAAAUCUAAUAACAUUGAUAGAGUAUAGAAGUUGGCUAAUAGGUUGGAGUGCACUCGUGUCUCUUUAUUAUGAACUCCAUUAGAUAACCUCAAAAUUUAAACCUCCUAUUGAAUGAAUGAUAUGCA